GACGAACGCUGGCGGCGUGCUUCAUACAUGCAAGUCGAACGAGAAGCUGACUUCGGUCAGUGGAAAGUGGCGGACGGGUGAGUAAUAUGUAGGAAAUCUGCCUUUAGGAGGGGGACAACAGAGGGAAACUUCUGCUAAUACCCCAUAUGAGCGUAGCUGAAAUGCUAUUCUUGAAAACUCCGGUGCCUAAAGAUGAGCCUGCAUCUGAUUAGCUAGUUGGUAGUGUAAUGGACUACCAAGGCGACGAUCAGUAGCUGGUUUGAGAGGAUGAUCAGCCACAAAGGGAAUGAGGACCAGCCCAUACUCCUACGGGGGGGAGGAGUAGGGAAUUUUGCGCAAUGGGGGAAAGCCCGGCGCAGCAACGGCGGGGGAACCAUUAAGCCCUUUGGGGGGGAAAGUUCUGUCAGUGGGGACGAAACUUGACGGUACCCACAGAGGAAGCACCGGCUAACUCCGU
rnacentral:rRNA from 1 species